AGAGUUUGAUCAUGGCUCAGAACGUACGCUGGCGGCACGCCUAACACAUGCAAGUCGAGCGGGGUAGCAAUACCUAGCGGCAGACGGGUGCGUAACAUGUGGGAAUCUGCCUUUUGGUUCGGAACAACAUGGGGAAACCUGUGCUAAUACCGGAUAAGUCCUAACGGAGAAAGUUUUAAUGCCAAAAGAUGAGCCCGCAUUUGAUUAGCUUGUUGGUGAGGUAAAAGCUCACCAAGGCUAUAAUCAAUAGCUGAUUUGAGAGGAUGAUCAGCCACACUGGGACUGAGACACGGCCCAGACUCCUACGGGAGGCAGCAGUGGGGAAUCUUGCACAAUGGGCGAAAGCCUGAUGCAGCGAUGCCGCGUGAGUGAAGAAGGCCUUUGGGUUGUAAAGCUCUUUUGUCGGGAAAGAUAAUGACUGUACCCGAAGAAUAAGGUCCGGCUAACUUCGUGCCAGCAGCCGCGGUAAUACGAAGGGACCUAGCGUAGUUCGGAAUUACUGGGCGUAAAGAGUAUGUAGGCGGCUAGAUAAGUUAAUUGUGAAAGCCCAAAGCUUAACUUUGGAACUGCAAUUAAAACUAUUUAGCUGGAGUAUGAUAGAGGAAAGCGGAAUACAUAGUGUAGAGGUGAAAUUCGUAGAUAUUAUGUAGAACACCAGUUGCGAAGGCGGCUUUCUGGAUCAUUACUGACGCUGAGAUACGAAAGUAUGGGUAGCGAAGAGGAUUAGAUACCCUCGUAGUCCAUACCAUAAACGAUGAUUAUUAAAUGUGGGGAAUUAUUUCUCUGUAUUAUAGCUAACGCGUUAAAUAAUCCGCCUGGGGAGUACGACCGCAAGGUUAAAACUCAAAUGAAUUGACGGGGACCCGCACAAGCGGUGGAGCAUGU
rnacentral:rRNA from 1 species